GUCUACGGCCAUACCACCCUGAACGCGCCCGAUCUCGUCUGAUCUCGGAAGCUAAGCAGGGUCGGGCCUGGUUAGUACUUGGAUGGAGUGGAUUUUUGUGUCAGCCUCUGGUUCCAGAUCCC
rnacentral:rRNA from 1 species